UACGAAGGGGGCUAGCGUUGUUCGGAAUUACUGGGCGUAAAGCGCACGUAGGCGGCUUUGUAAGUUAGAGGUGAAAGCCCGGGGCUCAACUCCGGAAUUGCCUUUAAGACUGCAUCGCUAGAAUUGUGGAGAGGUAAGUGGAAUUCCGAGUGUAGAGGUGAAAUUCGUAGAUAUUGGGAAGAACACCGGUGGCGAAGGCGGCGACCUGGUCCAUUACUGACGCUGAGGCGCGACAGCGUGGGGAGCAAACAGG
rnacentral:rRNA from 1 species